ACCUCCGGGAAACUGGAGCUAAUCCUCGUUAGGUGAGAAUUUCUGGAAUGAGUUUUCGCUUAAAGGGCAUCUGAAACAUGCUUUGGGUGUUGCCAAGGAUGGGGCCGCGACCGAUCAGGUUGUUGGUGAGGUAACGGCUCACCAAGCCUUUUACCGGUACGGGCCGUGAGAGCGGGAGCCCGGAGAUGGGCACUGAGACAAGGGCCCAGGCCCUACGGAGCGCAGCAGUCGCGCAAACUUUGCAAUACACGAAAGUGUGACAGGGCUAUCCCGAGUGCCGCCCGCUGAGGGUGCUUUUUACUCAGUUAAGCAAGCUGGGAGAAUAAGGAGAGGGCAAGUCUGGUGUCAGCCCGCCGCGGUAAUACCAGCUCUCCGAGUGGUGUGGAUGUUUAUUGGCCCUAAAGCAUCCGUAGCUUGCUGAGUCAGUCCCCUGUUAAACCCAGCGAAUUAAUCGCUGGAGUGCGGGGGAUCCUGCUCGGCUAGGGGCCAGAAGAGGCAGACGGAUUUCUCGGGUAGGGGUGAAAUCCUAUAAUCCCGGAAGACCACCAGUGGCGAAGGCUGUCUGCUAGAACGCGCCGAGGUGAGGGAUGAAAGCUGGGGGAGCGACCGGAUUAGAUACCCGGUAGUCCCAGCUGUAAACUAUGCAGGCUAGGUGUUGAGCGGCACGUGCCGUCUAGUGCCCAGAGAGCUGUAAGCUGCCGCUGGGAGACGGUCGCAAGAUUGAACUUA
rnacentral:rRNA from 1 species